GACGAACGCUGGCGGCGUGCUUAACACAUGCAAGUCGAACGGAGUGGCGAACGGGUGAGUAACACGUGGGUGACCUGCCCUGCACUUCGGGAUAAGCCUGGGAAACUGGGACUAAUACCGGAUAGUGUGGGAUGGGCCCGGGGCCUAUCAGCUGGUGGGUGGGGUAAUGGCCGACCACGGGGGCGACGGGGAGGCGGCCUGGGAGGGUGGACGGCCAGAUUGGGACUGAGACACGGCGCAGACUCGUACGGGGGGCAGCAGUGGGUAAUAUUGCACAAUGGGCGGAAGCCUGAUGCGGCGACGCCACGUGGGGGAUGACGGCCUGCGGGUUGUAAACUCCUUUCACCAUCGACGCGGUAGAUGGAGAAGAAGCACCGGCUAACUACGUGCCAGCAGCCGCGGUAAUAC
rnacentral:rRNA from 1 species